GGAAAAAAAUGAUUCAUAUACACAAUUCUUUUAGUAAAAGUUUCUACUUCUUGCUAAUAACACAUUUUAAUUUGCCCCAGAAAAUGCAUUAAUUUUCUUCAAAUAUGUUUUUCCUAAAAUAUAAAUAUUUAAAUUAAAUUUUUAUAAAUGUAGAGGAUAUAGUUUCUGUUGGCUCUCACAUGGGUAUCAGUCAGUCCAAAACUUCAGCACUGAGGAAAUAUUUGCAACUGUGAUUAUUUUAAUUUGUCUAUAAAUAUAUAAUAGAAUCUUUGCAACUUAAUCAAGAACGAUUAACUCAUACUUCAUGUAGUACCGAGCACCUUAAAUUACAUAUUGUUGAAUUAAACUAUUGGCAUUAAUAUAUGUAUUUUAAUGUGUUAUUUACAAUAGACAAGUAGAAUUCUCUUGUAUAACAACAUUCCAGAGAUUUUGAAAAUAUAUAAUGAAAGAGUAUAAUUUACAAAUGCUUCAAUGCUUUCCUACAGUAUUUAAGCUGGGAUUUCAUUCUUCAGCAUUGGAAAACAGGAAACAAACACAAAGUCAAUAUCCUCAAGCUGUUUUUUUUAAAGGAUUAUUUUUUUUUAAUAAGGGAUCAAAAAUGAUCAAGAUAAGCUAUAUACAUGUACCAAGUCCCCAAAGCAAAUGUAGCUCUUAUGUAUUGCAAACAUACACUUCAAACGGAACAGAAAAAAUGCUAGCUUCAAAACUGUUCUAGUGGGAAGUAAGGAGUCCUGAAGGUUAACUCAGGGACAGUGCACCAGACACCAGAAGCAUCACAAUGGACGUUAAAGUGUGGAGGAGGCCAGCAACCAUGAAAUCUGGUUAACAUGUUUUUAACUCAGUAUUUAAAUGCAGAUUUUUAUUACCAAACCCCUAUAUGAAUGAUAUUCUGAGAGAUGAUUUAAAAUAAAACUGCAACUCAAUACACAUGCAUGUCUGAGGGAGCAAGUUUGCAUCCCUUAACCAAAUGACUUUUAAACCUCUUUGGACUGGCAUUUGCUAAAAUACAAUGCUUAAAACACAGGUCUACAAUGUACAUUUGUCUGCGUAAACUACAGGGAAAGAGGUGUUAGAAAUGCUUGCAGAAACUCCGGGGCUACCUUCCAAGGUUUGAGAAAAUGACUCUAACAUCAGACAAUGGGUGUUACUUUUAGUGAGUAAAUCAUGAUAGGUAAAAACAGAAGCAUUAAGCUUAUCUGUGAUGUGCUUUCCAUUGUCCCAAAAUAUUUUCUAGAAAAAUAUCAGGUCAUUAUAUUAUUUCCCUGGGAUUUGAAAAGAGCUGCAGAUGCCAUCG
rnacentral:lncRNA from 1 species